AUUGAACGCUGGCGGCAGGCCUAAUACAUGCAAGUCGAGCGAGCGGCGGACGGGUGAGCAAUGUAUGGGGACUUGCCUGAUAGACGGGGAUAACUACUGGAAACGGUGGCUAAUUCCGCAUACUAUCCGAUGAACCCACAUGGGAGUAGCUAGUAGGUGGGGUAAAGGCUCACCUAGGCGACGAUGUCUAGCUGGUCUGAGAGGAUGAUCGGCAACACUGGGACUGAGACACGGCCCAGACUCCUACGGGAGGCAGCAGUAGGGAAUAUUGCACAAUGGGCGAAAGCCUGAUGCAGCCAUGCCGCGUGUAUGAAGAAGGCCUUCGGAUUGUAAAGUUCUUUCAGCGGAGAGGCGUUACCCACAGAGAAAGCACCGGCUAACUCCGUGCCAGCAGCCGCGGUAAUUC
rnacentral:rRNA from 1 species